GAUGAACGCUGGCGGCGUGCUUAAUACAUGCAAGUCGAGCGAACGGACGAUGAUCUUGUUUCUCUGAUGUUAGCGGCGGACGGGUGUGUAACACGUGUAUACCCCACCUAUAAUUCUGGUAUAACUUCGGGAAACCGGAGCUAAUACCGGAUAAUAUUUUGAACCGCAUGGUGCAUAAGUGAAAGACGGUCUUGCUGUCACUUAUAGAUGGAUCCCCGCUGCAUUAGCUGGUUGGUAGGGUAACGGCUUACGAAGGGAACCAUGCCUAAACGGCCUGAGAGAGGGGUAGGCCACCCUGGAACUGAGACAGGGUCCAGACUACUAAGAGAGGCAGCAGUCGGGAACGUUCGGCAGUGGGAGAAAGUAUGGCGGAGUAGAGGCGCGUGAGUGGUGGAAGUGUUGGGAGCGUAAAAAUGUGUUACUAGGGAAGAACAUAUGUGUAAGUAACUGUGGCGAUCUUGACGGUAACUAAUAAGAAAGCCCCGGCUAACUACGUG
rnacentral:rRNA from 1 species